UACGUAGGGUGCAAGCGUUAAUCGGAAUUACUGGGCGUAAAGCGUGCGCAGGCGGUUUUGCAAGACAGGGGUGAAAUCCCCGGGCUUAACCUGGGAACUGCGUUUGAAACUACAAGGCUAGAGUGUGGCAGAGGGGGGUGGAAUUCCUGGUGUAGCAGUGAAAUGCGUAGAUAUCAGGAGGAAUACCGAUGGCGAAGGCAGGUCUCUGGGCUGACACUGACGCUCAUGCACGAAAGCGUGGGGAGCAAACAGG
rnacentral:rRNA from 1 species